rnacentral:rRNA from 1 species
ACGAGAGUUUUUAACUCAAGUGGCGGACGGGUGAGUAACACGUAAGAAUUUGCCUUUAGGAGGGGGACAACAACUGGAAACGGUUGCUAAUACCCCAUAUGCUUUCGAGUGAAAUGGAUUUUUCCGCCUAAAGAGAAGCUUGCGGCUGAUUAGCUUGUUGGUGAGGUAAUGGCUCACCAAGGCGACGAUCAGUAUCUGGUUUGAGAGGACGAUCAGACACACUGGAACUGAGACACGGUCCAGACUCCUACGGGAGGCAGCAGUGGGGAAUUUUCCGCAAUGGGCGAAAGCCUGACGGAGCAAUACCGCGUGAGGGAUGACGGCCUAUGGGUUGUAAACCUCUUUUUUCAGGGAGGAAUCAAAUGACGUGUACCUGAAGAAUAAGCAUCGGCUAACUCCGUGCCAGCAGCCGCGGUAAGACGGAGGAUGCAAGUGUUAUCCGGAAUCACUGGGCGUAAAGCGUCUGUAGGUGGUCCAAUAAGUCAACUGUUAAAUCUUGAGGCUCAACCUCAAAAUCGCAGUCGAAACUAUUAGACUAGAGUAUAGUAGGGGUAAAGGGAAUUUCCAGUGGAGCGGUGAAAUGCGUAGAGAUUGGAAAGAACACCGAUGGCGAAGGCACUUUACUGGGCUAUUACUAACACUCAGAGACGAAAGCUAGGGUAGCAAAUGGGAUUAGAUACCCCAGUAGUCCUAGCCGUAAACAAUGGAUACUAGAUGUUGAACAGAUCGACCUGUGCAGU